rnacentral:rRNA from 1 species
GUCCUUUGAUAAUAAUUUAGGUCUGUCCUGCUCACUGAAUAUGUUUAAGAGCCGCGGUAUUUUGACUGUGCAAAGGUAGCAUAAUCAUUAGUCUCUUAAUUAGAGGCUGGAAUGAAUGGUUUGACGAAGAAUUUACUGUCUCAUUUUAAAUUUAUAGAAUUUAACUUUUGAGUUAAAAGGCUUAAAUUUGUUUUAAGGACGAGAAGACCCUAUAGAGCUUGAUAUUUUAUUUUUAUUUAUUUUUUUGUUGGUUUUUAUAUGUUUGAUGAUAAUAUUUUGUUGGGGUGACAUGAGGAAUAACUAAACUCUUCAUUAUUAAAUCAUUAUUUUAUGUUUAUUUGAUCCAUAAUUUAUGAUCAAAAGAUAAAGUUACCUUAGGGAUAACAGCGUAAUUAUUUUUGAGAGUUCAUAUUGACAAAAUAGAUUGCGACCUCGAUGUUGGAUUAAGAAAAAUUUUAAGUGCAGUAGCUUAAUAAUUAGGUCUGUUCGACCUUUAAAUUCUU